GCUGUGCUUCCCUCGAGACCCGUCCCGCACCCUUUCUCACACCUGCACAUACACACGCAUCCACACCACGCGCACCACCUCCCCAUCCCUCCUGUGCCUCACCUGCCCCCACCCCCAGCCCUCUUCAAGAGUGAACCCCUAAACCACAGAAGCCAGAGCGAGGACACCUUUCUGAGACACCUGGCAGAGAAGAACAGUGCGGCCCCCGCCCAGCACCAUUAGCCCUAGCCAGUGCCGUCCCCACGGUGAGCUGGCAGAAGGGACGCAGCCGUACUUCUCUGGGGUCUGCCUGACUCCACGGCCUCCUUCAGGGCCUUCACCGUUGUCCUGGUGAGCCCUCAGACUGGCCUGACGGAGUGAAGACGACGACUGCCCUUGAAACCAGGGGAACCACCGAACUAAAGCCCAAUUUGCUUGCAUUUUCUGAUGACUUUUAUAAAUUUCAGAUACUGUGACUGUGGGAUUUUAUAAUUUCAUAUCAGCGGAUGAGGUAUGCUUGCUUUUAUAUCUCGGUCUUCUCCUCAGAGAGGGGUGGGCCUGUUUCCUUUAUACUGAUCGGGAAGGCUGUGAGGUUAGUCCAGAGCAUUAACUAUAUCACUGUGUACUGCAAUGAAUUCGGUUCAGCUUUUGGUGCUGGCUGCAGAGUCGAGCUGGCUGCGUUUCACACAAUAUCAAGCAUUAUAGAGAAGAUGGGAAUUUUCUUCUUUGUGUAGCUCUUUUAACACACUCUUUAUUUUACUACAGAAAUUAUUUUAGAGUUUUUGUAUAGACUUUAGUAGUCUGUUUCUAAAAUGAGAUGUAUUUCAAUAAGCUGUGUAAUUUUUUCAGUGUAGCUAAACCCAUGUUGUAAAAUAGAUAAAUUUUUAUAAUCAUCAAAAUGUGAUUCUCAAAGAUGCAUAUAAUAACUUCUAUCUCAACUAUUCUUACAUCCAUACAACUCAAAGGUGCUUCUGUGACUGGAUGUAUCUGAGCGGGUCACCAGACCAGGUACAAAAGCAAGGUUCAGUACAAAGUUAGUCAAUGAAUUGGAUGUCUCUGCUGGGCAUUCAGUCCAUUGGGCUCACUGACACAGCCAGUGUUGGUGUCCCUUUGAGUACUCUAUGGAUUCAGUGGGGUGGUGUGAGGGAAUGGGGUCACUCAGAGUUAGCGGGGCUUGCAAAUGUGAAUGACAUUUGUGAAUGCCCUCGGGAGAAAGUGACGGAGGUCGUUUCCUUGGAUCACGUCUGUUUCUCACUUUCUUAGAAACUGUGUUGUGCGCAGCUGUUAGGGGAAGAUGGAUUGGAAUCUCUUACUUUGAGGCUCCUGUGUUUUCCAAGAGUGUUAGAAGAAGCUAAUAGGGUGAACUGAAAUCACAAACGUAAUUGCUGGUAGUGACCAAGAAAUGUGGAUGGGAAGGCAAGUUGACUUUUAAGUUUUAAGAUGCCUGCAGUCUCUAAAACGUGGAUGUCCACACUGACUGGUAUCUGCCAUUAAAAAUGUAGUGAGAGGAAACCCCCAAUACUGUUGCCUGCCCUCUCCAGAGGAGGGAGACCGCAGCAUCUUAGGUGAGGAAGGAACAGUGCCCUUGUCUCUCGAGCGGCAGCUUACUCGGUCAACAUUUGGGGAACUUAAACAGAGCGUGGUCACCCUGGAGUGGAUAUACGGAAGGCCAGAGAGAAGGGCUAACAUGGUGGUUUCAGUCAGCUGACAGGUGUGCACGGCACAGCUCCUACGCAUUCUGUGCUGCUCUUCUCAGAGGCUGAGUUCCAAGAAUGGCCUCUGCCUCCCACCUCUCUCCUCCUCGUCUCUCUAUCCUCAGGCUCUUAAAUCAGACCCUUAGCUGUUAUUUAUUUAUCUUUGAUAUUAAAUGUGCAGUUAUGCGUUGUGCACUUUUUCCUGGCUACUUAACUCUGCAGUGGGGACACACGGACUCUGGACUGAGGUUAGGUUCCUGCUUUUAAAGUAUCAUACUCUAAAUUAGUUUUUUUGGUUUACUAUUUCUAGAUUUUUCUCCAGUUUUGCCCUUGUCUUCUGUAAACAUAGGAAACAUUGUGUGUGGAGUCAGGAAAGUCUCUCAGGACACACUUUCCCUCCAGCUUCUAGCUAUGAAUUUUAAUGAAUGGUAUUUGUAAUAUUUGCAUGCAUUCUUGCAGCCCUCACAAACCCGAGGCAAACAAGGAAGCAGGUUCCUUUUCUGAAUGUCGUGACUUAGAAGUCACCCCUACCCCAUUUACCUCCACAGUCUCCUCUGCAGCUUAUGGGAAGUCUGCAAAUCCACCUUCCAUGUAGACAGAUCCAUAUCUCACGGCUAAACCUAUAAUAUUCAAGUAUUUUUAUCAAAAAAGGUAUAAUUUGUAGCUAAGUUAAUAAUUGGUUAUACCUUAUUUUAUACUAAAUGCUUUUACAAUAUGAGGCAGACAUUCUGAAUUCUAGUCUUGAGGCUGUUGAAUUACAACCAUUUGAUGGUUAUACUAUGAAUAUUCAUUGAAAAAUUCAGGUUGUCAGUUCUGACUUUAUUCAAAUGACUAUAGCCAUAAGAAACUGUCCUCUACAUAGGAAACCCAAUAGCGAGUCAGUAAGCAUCACUAUCCUUAACAGAAGCAGAAAAAAGAAUUUAAAAUAGUGACUUAGGCCUACCACACUCUGUCAUUCUUACUCAAAUGUGAAACAGUGUAGAAAUGGCAAUAUAUUUUUUUUUUCUAGAGAAGUUUAUCUUCCCUGACUUGAGAAGCCUGCUCUAAAAAAUGGCUCUCAAAAGUGUACGACUAAUGGGCAUAUGUAUAAUGAGAUCUAUACAGAAAUGCUUCGGAGUCAGAAACCACAGGGUCACGCCUUAAACAUGCAGGUACCUCAGCUGUCACGUGCUGAAGACUCAGACUCAGGGUUGACAGUGUACUUGGGGAAGAGCUGCAGUGUGUGCUGUGCUGGCCCACAUGUGCUGCAGCGCCCCAGGAGUUCUACAGUACCUGUUACAUUCUUGUUACCUGUCCAUGGAAAAAGACCCGUGGAAGAGUUGGAGUUCUAGGCUUGUAUCUUUACUGUUGUCUCGUAACACGUUACAUUUCAGAAUAACAGAUUUUAAGUCAAGGCUUUCUCUUUACACCAUUCUAUCUUCAAAGGCUUUGUUGUGGCAAGGAUUACUUAGUUACAAGUAGACCAGGCUAGCCUUGAAUUCACAGCCUGAGUGCUGGGUCUACAGGAGGGAACCACAACCGGCCCCUCCCCCAAGAGUUUUGUUGUUGUUGGGGUUCUUGUUUUGCUUUUUUUGAGAAAGGGUCUCUCACUAAAUACCUACGCUAAGCUGAACUCCCCAGUGGAUACGGUCAUGGUUACCUCAAACCCAUGACUCCCUCACCUCAGCUUCCCAAAUGCUGGGCUCGUUGUACCUGCUCCCCCCGCCUGGCUUCCACAGCGAUGUUUCUGUGUUGGUAUUACGUUGUUUUGGGUUGAGUCAUGCAUCACUUGCUUUCUUCUCAUGGAUUUAUCAUUUGGAUACAAACUUUUUUAGCCUAAUUCAUUAGGCUAAUUCAUUAGGCUGCUGCUCUCAAACUGAGUCAGGCUCAGACUGGGUUAGGUUUUAAAACUGAAGGAAAAGAAGAUUUAAAGGCACGUGGCUUCAUUUUAUUUUAUUUGUAUAUUAUUUUGACUUGAUUCUUAUUUUUAGCAAAUGGAGAAGUCUCCACAUAAAACUUUAAUAAAGUUUAAAGAAACCUUUGUAAAUCAUUGCCAGGUACUGUCUUAGUAACCCUCAGCCUUAGGCCUCACCACGGGCCUUUCCAGAGUUGUCCAGUCUGAGAACCUCAUCUGUUGACAGUAUCCUUCUGAGCUAGCCCCCACCCCAUACAGCCCACCCCACAACCUCACCCCGUCUAACCAGAGGCAAAAAUCUUUGAAGUUUGGAAUUUUUAACUUCUUGAAAAUCUUUUUCAGUUUUAUGAUUGUUGAGUGGAUGUGGAUGUGUGUUUAGUUUCAUUUUUAUUUCCCUAGAAGAUUUAAAUUUUGAGACUAUGAAGCAGAGAAAGAACUCCACUGCGGAGGCGUGUGUGUGUGUGUGUGUGUGUGUGUGUGUACACAUGUGCACAUACUCAUGAAUGCACACAUCUAUAUGGAUCUAGUCCCUCUUGGAGGUUUGGUUAGGAAAACACACUAGAGUAGGUGAGCUUUUUGUAUUUAAAGAGAGAAAAACUAAAACUUCCAUUAAAAGAACCCCUCUGUUUAAGUCAAAGGCGCCCCCUUUGUUUAAGCUACUGUAUGAAAAAUACCACUUUUGUUACUUUGAUGGUCCACAUGCUAGAGAUUUUGAUGCUGUUCCGCAUGUGUAGCAUGCCAUGAGAAGAGAGAGUAUGUUAGAGCUAACCAUUUUAUCAACU
rnacentral:lncRNA from 1 species